UGGAGGACGGGUGAGUAACGCGUGGAAAACCUGCCGUAUACUGGGGGAUAACACUUAGAAAUAGGUGCUAAUACCGCAUAAGCGCACAGCUUCGCAUGAAGCGGUGUGAAAAACUCUGGUGGUAUACGAUGGUUCCGCGUCUGAUUAGCUAGUUGGUGGGGUAAUGGCCUACCAAGGCAACGAUCAGUAGCCGGCCUGAGAGGGUGAACGGCCACAUUGGGACUGAGACACGGCCCAAACUCCUACGGAAGGCAGCAG
rnacentral:rRNA from 1 species